rnacentral:rRNA from 1 species
UACAGAGGGGGCAAGCGUUGUUCGGAAUUACUGGGCGUAAAGGGCGCGUAGGCGGCCUGCUGAGUCGAACGUGAAAUCCCCGAGCUCAACUCGGGAACUGCGUCCGAUACUGACAGGCUUGAAUCCGGGAGAGGGAUGCGGAAUUCCAGGUGUAGCGGUGAAAUGUGUAGAUAUCUGGAGGAACACCGGUGGCGAAGGCGGCAUCCUGGACCGGCAUUGACGCUGAGGCGCGAAAGCUGGGGGAGCAAACGGG